UGGGGAAUAUUGCGCAAUGGGGGAAACCCUGACGCAGCAACGCCGCGUGAAGGAUGAAGGUUUUCGGAUCGUAAACUUCUUUGAUGAGGGAAGAAAAAAAUGACGGUACCUCAAAAACAAGCCACGGCUAACUACGUGCCAGCAGCCGCGGUAAUACGUAGGUGGCGAGCGUUGUCCGGAAUUACUGGGUGUAAAGGGCGUGUAGGCGGGAAUGUAAGUCAAAUGUGAAAUUCCGAGGCUCAACCUCGGAGCUGCAUCUGAAACUAUAUUUCUUGAGUGAUGGAGAGGAAAGUGGAAUUCCUAGUGUAGCGGUGAAAUGCGUAGAUAUUAGGAGGAACACCAGUGGCGAAGGCGACUUUCUGGACAUUAACUGACGCUGAGGCGCGAAAGCGUGGGGAGCAAACAGG
rnacentral:rRNA from 1 species